rnacentral:rRNA from 1 species
CGGGCUCGGCCCGAUCCUCCCA